UGCCCAUUUACAGUCACUCCCCAUUCUCUCCCACAACCCCACAGCUAUAGGCAACCACUAAUCUUUCUGUGUCUAUAGAUUCACAGCUGCUUCUUGGCCACCAAUCUGGUUCUUCUCAUUUCAUCCUUCACACUGCUGCAAGAGAAGUCCUAGAAUGAAAUCCAAUCCAGUUAUUCCCCUUCAUAAAAUCCUCUAGCCUCAGAUGCACUCUCAACUUCUCAGAGUGGCAUUCAGGCCCUUCAUGCUCUGGCUCCUCUUUUUCUUCACCAGCCCAUUGCCUUUCACUUCCUUUAUGGCACCCUGUGUGCCAAAGGUGAAUCACAGCACUUGCCAUUUCCCAAGCAUGCCAUGCUUCUCACACCUCAGUACCUUUGCACGUGCCACUUCCUUCAUCUGAAAUGCCCUUCUCCUCCAUCCCCGGCUCACCAGCUCAGGCACCAUGUCAUCUAAAAGGCCUUCCUCAGCCACCUCAGGCUGAGUCAUUUCACGUCUGUUUCCAUAGCUCCUGGUUGAUAUCUCUUGCAUCAUAGCACUUACCAUAUUACGUUAUAUUUGCUGGUUUGCCCAUCUGUCUUCCACACCAGAUUGUGAGCUCUUUAAGGGCACAGAAUGUGUCAUGUUCAGCUUUGAGACCCCACGUAGAGUUCAGCAUCUGGCAGUUAGUAAGAACUCAGUAAGUGGUGAAUGACUGAGUGAGUGGCAGCUAUGGCAUCACAGUUGUGUUUGGUGAACUACUAACUGCAUAAAGAUUCUUCCUCAGCAGAUCAAGUUUAUUUUACUUGGGGUUAUAAAUGAUGCUGUCUGUUAUAGUUGCCCAAGAAGUCUUGCAGAAUGUGGAUCUUUUACAAAAUUUUCUUAGUCAAAGGGUUAGCUCGUGUUGUUUGACUGAAGAAACUUAGGGGGAAAAAUAUGCAGUUUUGGUAGCAAGCUUUAGUCCCAUUUUUAAUGUACUUUAAACAUCAACUUGCAUGCAGAUAAAGCAUGCACAUAUUUCCCUUGAUGGAGCACAGCAGUUCCAAAUGUAAUCUUUUAUAACAUGCUAAAUAGACCUUGAGGCAUAAGGUGACUCUCAUAAUAACACAGGUUUGAUGAUUCAGGGGGUUCUGUGAAUAGUUGGUGUUUGAGAGACUCUUGCUAUCCUAUUGGUCUGACACUAUGAUAAUGGAGCAUAUGCUCAGCCACAGCUGUGUCCAAAUUUAAGCGAACCCCAAAUAGACUGGGCCUACUUCCUGGCCGUUCUUCUCGUGGCACAGAUUUUGAUCUUGACUUGUUCUCUAAGCAAUCUGAAAUGUGUGUGAUCUGUCUACUUCCUAUGUGGGGAGAAAGGCAAAUCUGAGCAGAGAAUGGGGCAGUGUUAUCCAUGUGCAUAAAUUCUACCCAGGCUACCGUCAGAAGCCUGCGGCUGCUCAGCAAAACAGCACAAGUUACUACCAGCCUCAGCUGCAGUAACUGCACCCUGGAGCAUUCUCAAAUGGCCAGCCAAUGGGGAGUCGUCUGCCUAAGUGGGGUUUUUAGCCAUCUUUCAGUUCAAUUGAAGAGGGAGCUUAAGGACAUCAUAGGGAUUUGUAAUGUUCCAUGCAAGGUGUCAGACCCAUAAACUAGCAUGUCCAUCGCACCAGUGCGCACAUGGAAUCAUCUCUCGUGGGUGGCAGAGAGAUUGAAGAUGACCUUUUACUGUUUAAUUGUAUUCAUCAUUUAAUAAUUCAGGAAUACCUAAAAGGGGUGAAGACUUCUGCAUUCAGACUAGAAUUAGACUCUUUCAGAAUGUUAGAAGGAAAAUACAGUAAAACAGAAGCACUUUGCAACCAGCCUGCAAGCAGUGCCUUUGCGCGUCUUGGUUCCCAGAGCUGUCCCCAACUGGGAGACAGGAGACCUGUGUUCCAGCCUUAGGUCAGCACUAUCCUGUGCAAUACCGUGGAUCAAUUUCUUCCUCUUUAAAACGAGAGCAUUGCACAGAUCUCCCAGGUUUGUUUUAGCACUAAAAUUCUGAUUCCUCUUAGUUAAGGGUUUAAGAAAACGUGAGGCAUGUGCUUCUGACAGUCUUUAGACUCUUUCUGCUUAGGUAUUAUUUAUUGCUCAUAUAGCCAUCUCAUUUAUUAGGGUUUUUUUUUUAUAGCUUGGAAUAGAUUCAGAGAUCAAUACAUUUUUAUUAAUGAUAGUCCGUCAUGCCUGGUAAAGAGAUGGCAAGAGAGCUCAUCUAGAAUGAGCUACUUGAAUAAACCUGACAUACCAGCUUAGCUACAGGCUGCAUUUUGGCAGGCCUCUCUGUAAAAUAAUGACAUUGGCAGAGGGAGAGACUAUGGAAACCUUCCUCACAGCCAGACUCAUAAAAUCAAAGGGCAGGUUUGGGGUGUUUCUUAGCCUUGGCUGUGUAUGCAAAUCCCAUGACUUUUUGAGUGUUGCCUUUUAUCUUCAAAAGGACAAAAUUUGGCAUUUGCCGUCAUCAUUAAAAAUGAUAAAUGCCUAAAAUGCUUUCAAGUUGGGAUUAUUGUAGGGUAGAACAAAUAUUGUUUCAGUACCAAACAGUAUCAGAGUAGAAAACUUCUCACUGACACUGUCAAAUCAGGAAAUUAGAAACCCUUCAUUAAUUUUCCCUUUAAAUCAUAUGAAAUUGGGCAUAAAUGUUGCCAGUUCUCCUUAGAAAAAUGAACGGUCUGGACCUUUUGGAGGUGAAUUACUCCUCCCAACACCAUUAAGAGACAGCCUUGUGCCCUGCAAGAGUUAAUUUGCCCCCAGAUGGAGCUUUUCAGGCCCUCUGAGCAGAGUUCAGAUGAUAUCAAGUUCACUAUUCUUCUGUUUUGUGCCUGUUGAACUUAAUUUUCAUUCCCUUUAUGGAUAGAAUUUGAAAUAUUCUAUGCUAAUUUUAAACUGUUUGAGACCUUUUCCAGAAACUUCACCUUAUAGUUCUGAUUUCAGACACCCUAAGAGCAAAUGGAGCUUUAAUUCCUGUCUGUCUCCUCCUCUUAAUGACCUUAACCCUGACCCCAGGCCUGCUCUCUAUAAGUGCCAAACAUGAUUCAUUCUCCUUGCUUGGUUUAGUUUUGUCCCUUUAAUGAGCCAAGAUGACCAGGGAGAACUGAUAGCUUAUUUGUGCUAAUAUAAGUAUGUUCUACUGGUUAACUCCUAAUGCAUUUAUUUGGCUUGUACUUUUACCUAAAAUUGACCCUUUGUCUGAGGGAUGAAAAGUCCAUAUUUUAGACAAAGGAGAUGCAAACAGCUCACAUUAACAAGCAAGUCAGGAGACAGACCUUACACAGGAAUGCAGGAUAAAGCCAACUGUGAGAGAAGGAGAGUCUUUGUAUUCUGUGCCUCAACUGUCAUAUUAUGGAUACAGUAUACAUGGUCAUUAAGAACAUAUUUUAUUGUGCAGUUACAGCCUAAUGAGCUACUGCUCAGAACCACUUUUCUUUCUGAUUUCCAGGAUUCAUUAUGUCUCGAAGUUAAAAAUUUCUGUGCUUGUGACUCUGUGGUCUGAGUGCCUCAUUUCUCCAGCCUCUAUAACUUAAUUUCUGAUACUGUUUGUGUGUGCAGGACUGCUUUUUGACUGUGUGUUUAAUACAUAGUACCCGAUUUUAUUUUCAAUGUUGCAAUGGCAGAACUGGGCCAUCAAGAAUGCUUAGAAGGUGAUAAGCAGUAAGAGACUUGUAAAGAGAUUUAUGAUAGGUUUAGCUUCCCUAUUUUCCGGCUUACCACUUUUAGCCCACCUCAUAUUAGGUUGGUAGGGGUCUGACCAUGGAUUUCUGACAGAUGUGUUUUUAUCCUUGUGAAUUUAUGCUUGCUUCAGUGUCAAAAAAAAAAAAAAAAAAAAAAAAACCUGUUAAAAACUGAUAGGACUUUGAACAGUGGGUUGAUCCCUGAUUAUGGCCUUUCCUGGCCAUCUCAUUUAAUUUCUGGCUGGUCCAACUAGUGACAUUAAAAGCUGCCCCUUCCGAGCUUGGCUGUUGUCUGCAUUGCACUGUACUCAGAGCAGUUAGUCUGGCCCCUUUUAUAGGUCAGUGACACCCUCAAGCUUGUAUACCUGUGUCACUACAAAUCUUAAAAGAUGCAAUUUUCUUGGCAGCUUCAUCCUCCUAAGAUGUAUUGGAGGUGGGAGUGAAGGGCAGGGUUCUAAUCUCCGUGUUAGGACCAGGGAGGGCGGACUCCUCUGUCCUCCCUCAUGCGGGCCCUGGGAGACCGCUGGCUGAAGGACUCUGAAAGAGGAUUCAGCUGGUGGUAUUAGUCACAUGCUGGGAUUUUUGUUUUUAAACAAUCUGCUUCUCUUCUGAAAAUACCUGGUUGUGCUUCUGGAACAGUACUGAUGGCGUCCCUCAUCCACAGUACAGCUUUACAUACUUGCUCUCUUUAGAAGAAAUAAGAUUAAAACGUCAAAGAAAAUUCUCCUCAAGGCAGUCGAACUGUUAUCUCUCCAGACCUUCAGAGUUGGGGAAUCUUUUCUUGUGUUAGUCCUAUUAUGCCAGAUAGUUUCCUCUUAAAAAAAAAAAAAACAUAAAUGAAUUCUGCAUGGUCAGGUAUUGUCAUCUUUGCAGAGAAUUUUCUUUGCCUAAUGUCCUAUCUGAUGGGCCAUUCUAUGUAUUAUAUGCUACAUAAUCUCCACAAAUGUAUACUGUGGUCCAUAAAACUGCCAUACUGUUUUCAGAAACUAGUAAUUCACAAAGUAAACCUGAGACAGUGCUGUUAAUAAACACAAAUUGCAAACAAGAAGGUAGUAAGUGGAAAUAAUGCACUCAUUUAGGAGCAAUAAAGCCUUUGAUCUUACUUUGAAGGAAAGAGUCCAUGUUGAAACUACCCAUUCAGGGACAGCCAGAUGCCCAUAAAGAGCAAGGCUUGCUUUGAUAGAAAAUCGCUGAGGCCUGUCUAGCAGGUCUGGUUUGUAAACAGAUUAGUUAAGGGCUCAUCAGGACUGAUUUGCAUAGGCUUCAGCGAGCCCCACUUUUUCAACCUUAAUGAGCAAUGCCAUUUCCAGGUUGGAAAUUACACUUUUUUUUUUUUUUCUAGCUAGAAAUCUUAGGUAAUUACUUUGUGGGAAAGGGAAAGAAUAUUCAUAUAAAGGGAACCCUUGCUGUCCUCAGCUAAUGGGAAAAUGAUGACCUAAGACUUGUUUUGCUUGCUCCAAAUGGUGAAUGAUAUAAUGAACGAAAUAGGUUAUGCGUUUAAAAUGUGGUUACAAAGAGGUUUUCCUCCCUUUCUCUGUUAUUUGAGAGAUAAAAGAGGAUUAAUCCAAAUUAUAAUAGAAAAGGUAACAUGGGACUGCAGACUCAGACUACAAAUAUUUAUUUAUCUGCAGAUUUUUAUGGAGGACCUCCUUGGAGCCAGGCUGUGUUCUAGGGGCCUCCUAUCCCUCAGUGCUCAAGGCAGACAAAGGCCCUGCCCUCAUGGAGCCUGCCCUCCAGAGCCUACCACUGUGGAGAAAAGGGAACAGUAAAGGAAAGGAGUUGAGCCAGUUUAAGCACGUAUUCUGAAAUCUCUACUUGUUAGCAGCCGUUUGCUUGAGAGAUGGCAAGACCAGUAUUUCCAGAGAGAAAAGACCCUCUGAUCAAUCUAAUUGCACUUUUAUUUUCAAUUCUCAGAAUAAUCAGUAAUUGCCUUGCUGUCAGUAAUCAAGAAUAUCUCCUAUCCUUAAAUUUUGUAGUGAAAAAAAUGUCAAAAGAAAACCUUUGCUUACUCUGGUCAUUUAAUAGAUAACAAAUGGAGCAGCUCAGUAGGGACAAAGGGUAGCUUUGAAAGUAAACAGUUCCCAAAUAAAAUGAAAUGAUAUCAGAAAUUUUCAACUCUGACCUUCUGAAAGUGCCAUGAGGUUGUGGUGGACAACGGUCUGUUUCUUUGUCUGGCUUGCGGCAACGUCGUUCUGCUUAUGAGAGAUCUUUGUAGGUAUUGUAAACACUGGUGACACUGACUUGCUCAGUUGGGAACUUGGGUUUAAAUAACAACCUUCAGCUUCAGCCUUUGUGUCCUGCCUUGUCAAGGCCAAGGACCUCAGCCGUCUGCUGCUUCCUAGAAGUGAGAUCAAAUCAGCACACUCCCAUAAAUGUCACCUUGGAUACAUUCCACUCUGAAAAACAACGGUCCAGCUCUGGUGGGGGAAGAGCAAACCACAUGAACAUGGAUUCCUUGCACCCGACAAUGAGAAGCCACGAUGCACACAAUGGUAGGGACUAGAGGAGCUCAAUCCCAAGGGCAGAGUGUGAUGUUCAUCGGCUCUGACCGACGAUAGCACAGGCAAGAAAAGCAUUAUCUUCAAUGCAGGAUUCUGCUUCCAGAAAUGGCCUAAAUCGUGGGGCUGGAAACAACAAGAAUCGAGCAAAUCCAAAUAACUCCCAGCUAACACUAGUAUGACAUUUGGUUAGGGAAAAUGUCCCAAGAGAAAUGUAAACUAUUUGAAAACAUCCUGUUACUAAAACUUGGACAUAAAAAGAAUGACAAAUGGACUGGACUCAACAACUUAAUUCUAAGCACGCAUGAGUUUGGCUCCCGUGAAUACUUUUUUAGCAUAUACUAUUUUUCAUGUUCUCUUAUAUGGAGAUGGUUCCUACCACAUGAAGAAAGAUCAAUUGACAUUUACUACUCACAGAAGAACAUGUUGGAAGCAAUCAGCAUCCUCACUGCUGGCCUGGGGUCGAGCUGAGUGAGUCACAGAAUCCUCGAUCUUUGCUGAGUCUCUGUCCAACUUCCCUCCAAGGCUCACCCCUGGGGACUGAUUACAACCAUCUGCUUAAGAGCUAUUACUCUGACCAAAGAAAGAAAAGCUACAAAUGGUCAAACAGAAGGAAUACAAGAACAACAGGGCAAAAUGACCAGAUCUUAAACCAUGCCUGGAAUUCAUCAUCCCCAAAGAGCUUCAUAUGCAUCCAGCUGGGAUCUCAGAAGGUGUGGGUCAAGUGCCCAGGAAGUGACAGG
ensembl:lncRNA